AUUGAACGCUGGCGGCAGGCCUAACACAUGCAAGUCGAACGGUAACAGAAAGCAGCUUGCUGCUUUGCUGACGAGUGGCGGACGGGUGAGGAAUGUCUGGGAAACUGCCUGAUGGCGGGGGAUAACUACUGGAAACGGUAGCUAAUACCGCAUAACGUCGCAAGACCAAAGAGGGGGACCUUCGGGCCUCUUGCCAUCGGAUGUGCCCAGAUGGGAUUAGCUAGUAGGUGGGGUAACGGCUCACCUAGGCGACGAUCCCUAGCUGGUCUGAGAGGAUGACCAGCCACACUGGAACUGAGACACGGUCCAGACUCCUACGGGAGGCAGCAGUGGGGAAUAUUGCACAAUGGGCGCAAGCCUGAUGCAGCCAUGCCGCGUGUAUGAAGAAGGCCUUCGGGUUGUAAAGUACUUUCAGCGAGGAGGAAGGUGUUGUGGUUAAUAACCACAGCAAUUGACGUUACUCGCAGAAGAAGCACCGGCUAACUCCGUGCCAGCCGCCGCCGUAA
rnacentral:rRNA from 1 species